CCUACGGGUGGCAGCAGUGAGGAAUAUUGGUCAAUGGGCGAGAGCCUGAACCAGCCAAGUCGCGUGAGGGAAGACGGUCCUAUGGAUUGUAAACCUCUUUUGCCGGGGAGCAAAAAGCGGUACGUGUACCGCAUCGAGAGUACCCGGAGAAAAAGCAUCGGCUAACUCCGUGCCAGCAGCCGCGGUAAUACGGAGGAUGCGAGCGUUAUCCGGAUUUAUUGGGUUUAAAGGGUGCGCAGGCGGCGAGUUAAGUCAGCGGUAAAAUUUCGGGGCUCAACCCCGACAAGCCGUUGAAACUGGCUGGCUGGAGUUGGAGAGAAGUACGCGGAAUGCGCGGUGUAGCGGUGAAAUGCUUAGAUAUCGCGCAGAACCCCGAUUGCGAAGGCAGCGUACCGGCUCCACACUGACGCUGAGGCACGAAAGCGUGGGUAUCGAACAGGAUUAGAUACCCGUGUAGUC
rnacentral:rRNA from 1 species